UGCAUGCAUGGCUGAGCGGUCGAAAGCGGCGGACUCAUAAUCCGUUUCCCUUGUUGGACACCGCAGGUUCAAACCCUGCUGCAUGCAA
rnacentral:tRNA from 1 species